GGAAGUGAGUCAUAUCACAUUGGCACUUCUGUCUCCUCCUGUGCACUUUGGUAACCUCCUCAGCCAGAGAAAGCACACUGGUUCUUAAAUGAAAGUAAUUUUAAUAACAAUAACACUAACGGUUUUAGUAACAAUACAGAGUAGGUUCAUUCCUGUAGCACUUUUGUUUCCCAAGGCCAACUUCUCAUGGACCGUCUCUGGACCAGGCUGCCCUUGUCCAUUAAUGGCAAGGUCUCCAGGAGGACAGGGCACCACAAAGGUAUCCAAAUUCCUACGGCCAGUCAGACUGUUUAGAAGGUCGCAUCUCUUCAGGAAAUCGUCAAAAUAUUCGUCCUUCAGAUGCAAGUCAAACUUUUUCAGGACUGAAAUGACAUCUUCCUUUCCAACCUCCAAGAGAGAGAAAGAGAGAUCAGACGGCUACUUUACAAAGUUUCCACCUAAAUCACAGGUGGGCCCUAAUCCAGUAUGAGUGGUGGCUUUAUGAGAAGAGGAGAUUAGGACACAGACACACAGAGAGAAGACCAAGUGAAGACACAAGGAGCAGACCCGUCUACAAACCAAG
rnacentral:lncRNA from 1 species